rnacentral:rRNA from 1 species
AGUCGUUCUGCCCAUUGAAUUUAAAAGGCUGCGGUAUAUUAACUGUACAAAGGUAGCAAAAUAAAUAGUUUUUUAAUUAGAAACUUGAAUGAAAGAGUUAAUAAAAUAUAAAUUGUCUCAAAUAUUAAAUUUAAAUUAAAAGUUAAAAUGCUUUUAUAAAUUUAUUAGACGAUAAGACCCUAAGAAUUUAAUUAUUAAUAUUAUUUUAUAAAAUAAAUARAAUGUUAAUAAUUUUAUUGGGAGGAUAAUUAAAUUAAACUUUAAUUUAAUAAAAWAUUAAUAAAUAAAUUUUAUGAUUAUUUUUAUAAUUAUAAGAAUUAAUUACCUUAGGGAUAACAGCGUGAUAAUUUUGGAGAGUUCAUAUUGAUAARAUUGUUUACGACCUCGAUGUUGAAUUAAAAUUAAAAUUAAAUGAAGAUAUUUAAAUUUUUAGUCUGUUCGACUAUUAAAAUUUUAC